CCUACGGGUGGCAGCAGUGAGGAAUAUUGGUCAAUGGACGAGAGUCUGAACCAGCCAAGUAGCGUGAAGGAUGACUGCCCUAUGGGUUGUAAACUUCUUUUAUAUGGGAAUAAAAUGUUCCACGUGUGGGAUUUUGUAUGUACCAUAUGAAUAAGGAUCGGCUAACUCCGUGCCAGCAGCCGCGGUAAUCCGGAGUAUCCGAGCGUUAUCCGGAUUUAUUGGGUUUAAAGGGAGCGUCGGUGGAUUGUUAAGUCAGUUGUGAAAGUUUGCGGCUCAACCGUAAAAUUGCAGUUGAAACUGGCAGUCUGGAGUACAGUAGAGGUGGGCGGAAUUCGUGGUGUAGCGGUGAAAUGCUUAGAUAUCACGAAGAACUCCGAUUGCGAAGGCAGCUCACUGGACUGCAACUGACACUGAGGCUCGAAAGUGUGGGUAUCAAACAGGAUUAGAUACCCGGGUAGUC
rnacentral:rRNA from 1 species